rnacentral:rRNA from 1 species
AACCAGCUCUUCAAGUGGUCGGGAUAAUUAUUGGGCUUAAAGUGUCCGUAGCUGGUAGGGUAAGUUCCUGGUAAAAUUGGGCAGCUUAACUGUCCUUAUGCUAGGAAUACUGCUUUACUAGAGGGCGGGAGAGGUCUGAGGUACUACAGGGGUAGGGGUGAAAUCUUAUAAUCCUUGUAGGACCACCAGUGGCGAAAGCGUCAGACUGGAACGCGCCUGACAGUGAGGGACGAAAGCCAGGGGGAGCGAACCGGAUUAGAUACCCGGGUAGUCCUGGCCGUAAACGAUGCACACUAGAUGAUGGUGCGGCCAUGAGCCGUAUCAGUGUCGUAGGGAAACCGUUAAGUGUGCCGCCUGGGAAGUACGGUCGCAAGGCUUAAACUUAAAGGAAUUGGCGGGGGAGCACCACAAGGGGUGAAGCCUGCGGUUC